UCGAGAAUCUUCGGCAAUGGGCGCAAGCCUGACCGAGCGACGCCGCGUGCGGGAUGAAGGCCUUCGGGUUGUAAACCGCUGUCGGAGGGGAUGAAAUGCCAGGGAGUUAUCUCUUUGGUUUGACAGAUCCUAGGAGGAAGUACGGGCUAAGUUCGUGCCAGCAGCCGCGGUAAGACGAACCGUACGAACGUUAUUCGGUGUCACUGGGCUUAAAGGGUGCGUAGGCGGCGGAGAAAGUUAGGUGUGAAAUCCCUCGGCUCAACCGAGGAAUGGCGCUUAAAACUACUUCGCUCGAGGAAGAUAGAGGUGAGCGGAACUUACGGUGGAGCGGUGAAAUGCGUUGAUAUCGUAGGGAACACCAGUUGCGAAAGCGGCUCACUGGGUCUUUUCUGACGCUGAGGCACGAAAGCUAGGGUAGCGAACGGGAUUAGAUACCCCGGUAGUCCUAGCCAUAAACGAUGAGCAC
rnacentral:rRNA from 1 species